rnacentral:rRNA from 1 species
CGCGUAGGCGGUUUGAUAAGUCGGAUGUGAAAGCCCCGGGCUCAACCUGGGAAUUGCAUUCGAUACUGUCUGACUAGAAUGUGGUAGAGGGAAGUGGAAUUCCAGGUGUAGCGGUGAAAUGCGUAGAUAUCUGGAGGAACAUCAGUGGCGAAGGCGACUUCCUGGACCAACAUUGACGCUGAGGUGCGAAAGCGUGGGGAGCAAACA